GGACUUGGUGUGCAGCUGUGCAACCUUUUAAAUUAUAAAGAGGGACAAACAAUAAAACCACUUUACUGGGAAAAUCCAGCUUCCAUGGUCUUUGUUCUGGAAAUGAGGAAGGUCAAGGUCAGAGUGCCACCAAGAUCUGGGGCUUCUUCAAAAAGAAACUGCUCUCAUGUUGGCCGUUUCUCACCCUGGACA